UUUUUGGUGGAGGAAAAAACAAAAGCCAAAAGCACUCCAAGUUAGACUCCCAAGCAGAGCACCAAAGUAUACGUAGAUCGGUGAAAAUAGAGUCUGAUAGGAAGAGAAAGAAAGAUUCGAUCUCAUCUGCGGAUCGAUCUAAAGAAAGAGGAAAAGAAAGAGAAAAGAGCAAGAAGAAGACGAAAAUGGCGUCGGCCAAUCAGGUCAGGGCAUCUCACAUACUCGUAAAGCACGAGGGCUCUCGAAGGAAGGCGUCCUGGAAGGAUCCUGAAGGUCGCGUCAUCAAGAACACCACCAGAGACUCCGCUGUCUCUCAGCUUCAACUCUUCCGUGACGACAUCGUUUCUGGCAAGGCUAAGUUCGAGGACAUCGCCUCUCGCUUCUCCGAUUGCAGCUCAGCCAAGCGCGGCGGCGAUCUCGGUCCAUUUGGUCAGGGUCAGAUGCAGAAGCCUUUUGAAGAUGCAACAUUUGCUCUUAAGGUUGGUGAGAUAAGUGACAUCGUGGACACUGACAGUGGGGUGCACAUUAUCAUGAGAACUGGUUAAUUAUACAGUACUGAGUAUAUUUAAAGAUUCUUUGGUGUACUUGGCAAACAGAUUCAAGUAUGACAAGAUUGCUUUUUUUUUCAGUUAGCUUAAUGCCACCAUAUUGUGCCGCCUCUUGGGUUCUUAUUAUGAGAGAUUUUGACUGAUUAAUGCAUUGUUCCCUAACACUGGUCUGAUUCGUGUGUUUGGGAUUGCAUUGCCCCCUGAAAAUUUCUGCCUGUGGUUUGGGAUAAUUUUUCUGAUUAAUGGAUUUUAUUUAAGCUUUGUUUUAA
rnacentral:misc_RNA from 1 species